CCGGCGAUGUCCGAAUGGGGAAACCCAGUGCAAUUCGUUGCACUAUCGUUAACUGAAUACAUAGGUUAACGAGGCGAACCGGGGGAACUGAAACAUCUAAGUACCCCGAGGAAAAGAAAUCAACCGAGAUUCCCCCAGUAGCGGCGAGCGAACGGGGAGCAGCCCAGAGUCUGAAUCAGCUUGUGUGUUAGUGGAACGGUCUGGAAAGUCCGACGGUACAGGGUGAUAGUCCCGUACACCAAAAUGCACAGGCUGUGAACUCGAAGAGUAGGGCGGGACACGUGGUAUCCUGUCUGAAUAUGGGGGGACCAUCCUCCAAGGCUAAAUACUCCUGACUGACCGAUAGUGAACCAGUACCGUGAGGGAAAGGCGAAAAGAACCCCGGCGAGGGGAGUGAAAAAGAACCUGAAACCGUGUACGUACAAGCAGUGGGAGCACCUUCGGGUGUGACUGCGUACCUUUUGUAUAAUGGGUCAGCGACUUAUAUUCUGUAGCAAGGUUAACCGUAUAGGGGAGCCGCAGGGAAACCGAGUCUUAACUGGGCGUUAAGUUGCAGGGUAUAGACCCGAAACCCGGUGAUCUAGCCAUGGGCAGGUUGAAGGUUGGGUAACACUAACUGGAGGACCGAACCGACUAAUGUUGAAAAAUUAGCGGAUGACUUGUGGCUGGGGGUGAAAGGCCAAUCAAACCGGGAGAUAGCUGGUUCUCCCCGAAAGCUAUUUAGGUAGCGCCUCGUGAAUUCAUCUUCGGGGGUAGAGCACUGUUUCGGCUAGGGGGUCAUCCCGACUUACCAACCCGAUGCAAACUACGAAUACCGAAGAAUGUUAUCACGGGAGACACACGGCGGGUGCUAACGUCCGUCGUGAAGAGGGAAACAACCCAGACCGCCAGCUAAGGUCCCAAAGUCAUGGUUAAGUGGGAAACGAUGUGGGAAGGCACAGACAGCCAGGAUGU
rnacentral:rRNA from 1 species